rnacentral:rRNA from 1 species
UAACCGGCGGACAGGCCUAACACACGCAAGUCGAGCGGAAACGAGUUAUCUUGAACCUUCGGGGAACGAUAACGGCGUCGAGCGGCGGACGGGUGAGUAAUGCCUAGGAAAUUGCCCUGAUGUGGGGAUAACCAUUGGAAACGAUGGCUAAUACCGCAUGAUGCCUACGGGCCAAAGAGGGGGACCUUCGGGCCUCUCGCGUCAGGAUAUGCCUAGGUGGGAUUAGCUAGUUGGUGAGGUAAUGGCUCACCAAGGCGACGAUCCCUAGCUGGUCUGAGAGGAUGAUCAGCCACACUGGAACUGAGACACGGUCCAGACUCCUACGGGAGGCAGCAGUGGGGAAUAUUGCACAAUGGGCGCAAGCCUGAUGCAGCCAAGCCGCGUGUGUGAAGAAGGCCUUCGGGUUGUAAAGCACUUUCAGUCGUGAGGAAGGUGGUGUAGUUAAUAGCUGCAUUACUUGACGUUAGCGACAGAAGAAGCACCGGCUAACUCCGUGCCAGCAGCCGCGGUAAUACGGAGGGUGCGAGCGUUAAUCGGAAUUACUGGGCGUAAAGCGCAUGCAGGUGGUUUGUUAAGUCAGAUGUGAAAGCCCGGGGCUCAACCUCGGAAUAGCAUUUGAAACUGGGCAGACUAGAGUACUGUAGAGGGGGGUAGAAUUUCAGGUGUAGCGGUGAAAUGCGUAGAGAUCUGAAGGAAUACCGGUGGCGAAGGCGGCCCCCUGGACAGAUACUGACACUCAGAUGCGAAAGCGUGGGGGAGCAAACAGGAUUAGAUUACCCUGUUUAAUUCCACCGCCGUAAACGAUGUCCUACUUGGAGGGUUUGUGGCCUUGAACCCGUGUCUUUCGGAGACUUAACGCGUUAAUUAAACCGCCUUGGGAGUACGGUCGCAAGAUUAAAACUCAAAUGAAUUGACGGGGGCCCGCACAAGCGGUGGAGCAUGUGGUUUAAUUCGAUGCUACGCGAAGAACCUUACCUACUCUUGACAUCCAGAGAACUUUCCGGAGAUGGAUUGGUGCCUUCGGGAACUCUGAGACAGGUGCUGCAUGGCUGUCGUCAGCUCGU